rnacentral:rRNA from 1 species
AGCGAACGCUGGCGGCAGGCCUAACACAUGCAAGUCGAACGGAUCCUUCGGGAUUAGUGGCGGACGGGUGAGUAACACGUGGGAACGUGCCAUUUGGUUCGGAACAACUCAGGGAAACUUGAGCUAAUACCGGAUGUGCCCUUCGGGGGACAGAUUUAUCGCCAUUGGAGCGGCCCGCGUCUGAUUAGCUAGUUGGUGGGGUAAAGGCCCACCAAGGCGACGAUCAGUAGCUGGUUUGAGAGGAUGAUCAGCCACAUUGGGACUGAGACACGGCCCAAACUCCUACGGGGGGCGGCGGUGGGGAAGCUUGCGCAAUGGACGAAAGCCUGACGCAGCCAUGCCGCGUGAAUGAUGAAGGUCUUAGGAUUGUAAAAUUCUUUCACCGGGGACGAUAAUGACGGUACCCGGGGAAGAAGCCCCGUCUAACUUCGUGCCAGCCGCCGCCGUAA